CCUACGGGUGGCAGCAGUGAGGAAUAUUGGUCAAUGGACGGAAGUCUGAACCAGCCAUGCCGCGUGCAGGAAGACGGCUCUAUGAGUUGUAAACUGCUUUUGUACAAGGGUAAACCUGAAUACGUGUAUUCCGCUGAAAGUACUGUACGAAUAAGGCUCGGCUAACUCCGUUCCAGCAGCCGCGGUAAUACGGAGGAUCCAGGCGUUAUCCGGAUUUAUUGGGUUUAAAGGGUGCGUAGGCGGGUUGAUAAGUUAGAGGUGAAAUGUGCGAGCGUAACUCCGGAACUGCCUUUAAUACUGUUGAGCUAGAGAGUAGGUGAGGUAGGCGGAAUGUAUGGUGUAGCGGUGAAAUGCUUAGAGAUCAUGCAGAACACCGAUUGCGAAGGCAGCUUACCAGACUAUAUCUGACGUUGAGGCACGAAAGCGUGGGGAGCAAACAGGAUUAGAUACCCCAGUAGUC
rnacentral:rRNA from 1 species